GAUGAACGCUGGCGGCGUGCCUAAUACAUGCAAGUCGAGCGAACAGACGAGGAGCUUGCUCCUCUGACGUUAGCGGCGGACGGGUGAGUAACACGUGGAUAACCUACCUAUAAGACUGGGAUAACUUCGGGAAACCGGCGCUAAUACCGGAUAAUAUAUUGAACCGCAUGGUUCAAUAGUGAGAGACGGUUUUGCUGUCACUUAUAGAUGGAUCCGCGCCGCAUUAGCUAGUUGGGAAGGUAACGGCUUACCAAGGCAACGAUGCGUAGCCGACCUGAGAGGGUGGUCGGCCACCCUGGAGCGGGGACGCGGUCCAGACUCCUACGGGAGGCAGCAGUAGGGUAUCUUCCGCAAUGGGCGAAAGCCUGACGGAGCAACGCCGCGUGAGUGAUGAAGGUCUUCGGAGCGUAAAACUCUGUUAUGAGGGAAGAACAAAUGUGUAAGUAACUAUGCACGUCUUGACGGUACCUAAUCAGAAAGCCACGGCUAACUACGUG
rnacentral:rRNA from 1 species